UGCGGUAGCAGAUUAGAAGUAC
rnacentral:miRNA from 1 species